rnacentral:rRNA from 1 species
CCUACGGGAGGCAGCAGUGGGGAAUUUUGGACAAUGGGCGCAAGCCUGAUCCAGCAAUGCCGCGUGCAGGAUGAAGGCCUUCGGGUUGUAAACUGCUUUUGUACGGAACGAAACGGUCUGCCCUAAUACGGUGGGCUAAUGACGGUACCGUAAGAAUAAGCACCGGCUAACUACGUGCCAGCAGCCGCGGUAAUACGUAGGGUGCGAGCGUUAAUCGGAAUUACUGGGCGUAAAGCGUGCGCAGGCGGUUAUAUAAGACAGAUGUGAAAUCCCCGGGCUCAACCUGGGACCUGCAUUUGUGACUGUAUAGCUAGAGUACGGUAGAGGGGGAUGGAAUUCCGCGUGUAGCAGUGAAAUGCGUAGAUAUGCGGAGGAACACCGAUGGCGAAGGCAAUCCCCUGGACCUGUACUGACGCUCAUGCACGAAAGCGUGGGGAGCAAACAGGAUUAGAUACCCUGGUAGUCCACGCCCUAAACGAUGUCAACUGGUUGUUGGGUCUUCACUGACUCAGUAACGAAGCUAACGCGUGAAGUUGACCGCCUGGGGAGUACGGCCGCAAGGUUGAAACUCAAAGGAUUGACGGCUGAGACGAGCGACGACGACGACGAGGGAGGAGG